UUGAUUUUUUUUUUUUUUUUUUUUUGUGGUAAGAGGGCGGGCGUAGGCCCUUGACAAGGGACAAUGUAAGGGUAAACUUCGAAGUGUUCAUGGUUUGUUAGGAAACAUUUAUAAAUUAAACCGCAUAUAAAGUCAUUAAUUGUCUAUCUUGCGAGACCAUUUUAAGAUGAGUACAUUCAAGGAAAAAUCAUUCAAAACGUCACUUACAUUUUAUCAAAUAAAAUUUUUCAUUAUUCACUUUUAAAAUGAUAACUUGACGUUUCUUACAAAAUCAAAUUGACAAAUUUUUGUUCCUACCUAGAUUUUUGAUUAUUUUUUACGUUGAAUCCAUCAUGUAACUGACACAUAUUUUUUUUUAAGGGCAAAAAGAUUAUAUCUCAUUUAUCAUUAAACCAACAAUUCAAUCCAUAUUCAUUUUUAUCCCUAAAAAAAGGGUCUAAGUCGAAUCAUAUUUUUUUUCCCUCUUAUUUCCACUUCCAAGUGUUCUGAUUCUAUCACUUGCCGUGACUAGGCUUGUUAAAUGGUUCUUAAUAUAUGCGUGCAAAUUUCAUAAGCAUUGUACCCUUGAUGAGGGAUGGAUUGAGGUUUUUGCGAGCUCGAGCUCGAGUUUCGAGCUCGAUGAGCUCGGCUCGAUUUUAAACUCGAGUUCGAGCUCGAGCUCGAGUUUUCUACUAGUAUAUCGAGUCGAUCUCAAAUGCCUUGUAAAGCUCGAAUUACUAAUCGAGCGAGCUCGAGCUAGCUCGAUUAGAGGUUCGAGUCGAGCUCGAUUGUCCUAUGCUCGAGCUCGACUCGACUCGUUUAACAGGUCUAUUUAACUGCCGUGGAACAAACCCAUGGCUUUUUCUCUUUUUUUUUUUUUGAAGGCAAUAAAAGAAAACUAUCCAAAUCGUUUUCUUUUUCUUUCUUUCUUUUUUUUUCUAAUACAUUUGUUUUUUAUUUUAAAAAAUCUAUCUGACUCACAUAAUAUUAGUCAGAUUUUGUCAUAUUUUUCCAUUUAAUUUGCUUUUCUCACAAAAAGUUAGAUCGAAGGUUCACUAGUACUUCAUUUAUAUGAGUUGAGCAGGUAAUUUAAAAUAAAAAUUAGUUAAAUGACAAAAAGUAUAAUUUAAAUAGUACGUCACUUUUUGUCAUGUGAUGUGAUGGAUGUGAUAAAAGAGAAGAUAUGAUUAGAAAGAUUAAACAAAAAGUAAUUAAAAAAUGAGUUUAUUAAGCAAUGAAAAAGAUUCAUUUUUGUAUGAUUACUUAGCCAAAUUGAAGUGUUUACUCUUUUAUGUUUAACCAUUUUUCUAUUGAUAUAAAAAGGCUUGUAAAUUUGCUCUUUUUUUUUUUUUUUUUUGUGGUAAGAGGGCGGGCGUAGGCCCUUGACAAGGGACAAUGUAAGGGUAAACUUCGAAGUGUUCAUGGUUUGUUAGGAAACAUUUAUAAAUUAAACCGCAUAUAAACUCAUUAAUUGUCUAUCUUGCGAGACCAUUUUAAGAUGAGUACAUUUAAGGAAAAAUCAUUCAAAACGUCACUUACAUUUUAUCAAAUAAAAUUUUUUAUUAUUUACUUUUAAAAUGAUAACUUGACGUUUCUUACAAAAUUAAAUUGAUAAAUUUUUGUUCCAACCUAGAUUUUUGAUGAUUUUUUACGUUGAAUCCAUCAUGUAACUGACACAUAUUUAUUUUUUUUUAAGGGCAAAAAGAUUAUAUCUCAUUUAUAGUUAAACCAACAAUUCAAUCCAUAUUCAUUUUUAUCCCUAAAAAAGGAUCUAAGCCGAAUCAUAUUUAUUUUUUCCCCAAAAGAAGUGGCAUAUGAUCCAAUCCACAUUUAUUUUUGUAACUAAAAAAAAGUGAGAUUUGAUCUUUUUUUUUAUAUAUAAAAAAUAAUUGUAUACGAGUCACGUGGUGAUUUCAAACUAAAAAGUAAUUGAAAAUUUAGGUUGAAACCAAAUUUUAGUAAUUUGAAUUUGUAAGGAACCUAAAGUUAACGUUUUAAAAAGUAAAGAACCAAAAAAUUCAUUUAACAAAAUAUGAGAAAUAUUUGAAAUAAUUUUCCCUACAUUUGAUCAUUACUUAUCCAAAAGAAAUUAGAAGCAGGACAUUUUAUUUGAUGUAGUUUAGUUACAAAGAAUAUGUUGGUUUUGAUCGUUAUUUUAUUUUGGAGUGAUUGCUUGGAUUGUUACCUUAAAAUGAAGGGGAAGAUGGGAAAAAAGGUUCAAGAAACGAAAAACUGCACCUUUGGAUCCACGGUAGGUAGUUUUCCUUUGCAAAAUGACAUUUACUUGCUCAGUGUCUGAUGACUUAGCUUCAAAUUCGGUUCGCCAGAUUCUUCUUUCAGAAAAGCUGCAGGAUGGUACGCGAGCAGGACGAAUAUGGCUACUGCUAUCAAUCCAACUUUCAUCGGGUUUAAAGUAGCCAUUGAAUUACAAUUAAUUAUUGACACAGUAGCUAUUUCGCGUAAGUGAAACAUUGUAGAACGUAAUACAAAGCCCCCCAGCUAAGCCAUGAGAGGAGGAAGGACGAUAACUUGGAAUGUAAGGAUUACAAGAAUGAAAACAGUCAUCGUCUCCAUUUUAUUUUUCCAAAGUGCUGAUUUUCUGGAGCAGAGGAAAGACAAUCCAGGGCACUCUGAGCAUCGUCGCCGGCGGUCUCAAAAAUCUGUCAGGCAUUCCAGUGCCGCUCCAGCGCUUUGCCGCCACCACCACGUUCUUGAAAAAACCACCGGUCUUGGCGCUGACCGCUAUAUAUCACUGUCCUCCGAGCGAAGGGAAGGUUCAGUGGAAGGAAGAACUUGAAAGUAGUCGAGGAGAACGGCUUUUGGUCUAAUGACUAAAAUUGAAAGUUAAAAACUUACAAAUCAAAUCCCCUUUCUCCAUCCUUAGCUUCUUAAAUCUACUCAUUUCCCACUGCUUAGAAAAAAAGAAAAAGAAAAGAAUGAAACACUUGAAAGCCAUCGUCUCUUCUCGUCUUGUCUAGUGCUAAACUGCUAAUGCCAAAAGAAGCAAGCUAAUCAGACGACUAACGCACAAGGAAUAAUUGGGAUCGCUGGAAACGACGUAGCAGCAAUUUCAGGAACCGUGCGCGAGGCUAUGACUGGAGCAAAUACCUCCCAUUUUCUCAUCUGCGUUGCCGAAACAGAAAUACAGAGUCAUAUACAUUUAAAUUAUUAUUGACUUGCGUAGUAGGAGUACUAGAUAGAUAGAAUGGUGGCCUCUGUCUGGUUUUUUUUUUUUUACCAGGAGGUUACUUUUAAGGAGAGAUUUGGCAGAAAGAAGCGCUUUUCAUCCGACUUGAGUGAGUUACCACUACCAAAAGAAGUUCUUAUCCGUGAGAUGUUACUGAAUAGCGUAAUUACACACUCUGAUUUUAGGCCUGACCCAUCCUUUGUUUUAUUUUAUCGACUGACAAUACGCCCUCUAGGACGCCUGUGAGGAUCUGGAUCUUCUGCAGUCACAGUUGUGAUUGGAAACAACAGUUUAUGUUGUGGAUCGCGUCAUUUUGAAAUGGAUGGCUGUGAUUUGAUUUAUUUAUGAAUACAAAAUCAACAAUAGUUGUCGUGGUUUUGCAUGUUAUUGUUCUAAUAUCUAGAGGUUAGUUAGUUUAGUGUCUAUAUUUAUUGUAUGACAACAACCGCGGAAACCCUUGAUCCUGUGUAGUAGACCGAGCAGAACGAAGCAUUGAACGGGAAAGAUCCGAAAAGCUGAAAAUGCGAGUAUGUCAGCAGUGAAUUUUGACCUCCCUGUCUCAGAAUCAGAGCAAACUAGGGGGGUAAAAAAAAAAAAAAGAGCAGCACCCACGUUAAGCCUGAAGUCAGGCAAGAUUGCCAUCGUUGCAGAUGAGGUCCAACCAAUUAAAGCAGCAAAAGAAAGCUUGCCAAUUAGAUAGCAGAUUCAUUUGAGCUCUAUAGUUCCUCGAUGUGUAUUCAACAUGGUGCGGCUUUCAAAUGCGUUCUAUACAACGGGGAGCAUAUGAUCAUAAUUAACAUGCCGAGAAACUUCAGCUACAGUAGGCAAAUAAAAUGACAAAAAGGAGAAAGAAAAGACAAAAGGGAAAGAAAAUCUUUUAAGACUUCUAGUUUCUAGUACAACAGUAACAAUGAAUAUUUACACUCUCAUCCAACAUGUAGAGAAUGACCACCAAACAGGGGGAAAACUGAUAAUGCUUCUCUACAAGGGAUGAAAGAAGGCACCAAUUUCCAUCCCUUCAAUUAAAAAGAGUUAAACUGAAUUUUUCCAUUUCGAAUAAUCUCACCACACAAAGCAUGACAUGUUAAAACAACAGCUUGACCUAAAAGUAAGCUCUCAAUGAAUUUAAAACAAUAUUCACCGCCCUUCAUGAAGAUCUUCAGAAAAUACAGCUGUCCUAGAGUGGUGGUCAUUAUCAAAAGCACUUAGACCAGAGUAAGGACCAGAAGAGAAGAUUGAUGAUGUACCGUCUGACUCAAAGGUUGUAGACGACUGCCUAAGAUUCGGCCGGCUGUUAGAAGAUAAAGCAGAAUCCUGAUACUCCGCAACGCGUUGCACCAUUUUAAGUGACUGAACCACCUCCCCCAUUGUAGGGCGUUGGCUUGCCUCAGGAGCAACGCAAGCAGCUGCAAUUGUGCAAACCCGUACAAAAUCUUCUGUUGGAUACUUGCCUUCAAGCCUAGGAUCAGCAAGCUCUUCCAACCGAUCCUUAUCUCUAAGUAUUGGACGGGCCUGAAACCAACCCAAUAUUUGCAACUUUAAAAUACUUGAGAAGCAUCACUUUGACUGUAAUGGAAUUCAUCCUCAAGGGAAAAAAAAGACUGUAAAUAAUUAGAUUUAGCACCACUAAUAAAAAAUGCAAUAGCACAGUUAUAACCAACCCAAGUCACAAGGUUCUCCUGGCCUGAAGGUUGUGCCAUAUCUACAGGCUUCCUUCCAGUCAACAACUCAAGGAGGACCACCCCAUAGCUGUACACAUCACUCUUGACCAAUAGGUGGCCUGUCAUAGCAUAUUCUGGGGCUACAUACCUGUAUGCGAUUCACAUUACAAAUCUGCGCAUAUAACAUUAAUGAUGAGUUGAUCGAUCAAGAAACUAACCCGAAUGUGCCCAUAACACGUGUAGACAAAUAAUUUGCUCUGCCUUCAGGGGCCUGCUUUGCAAGACCAAAAUCAGCAACUUUUGCAUGAAAGUUGUUCUCAAGUAAUAUGUUUGAAGCCUUAAAAUCUCUAUGAAUGACACAAGGUUGAGAAUCCUCAUGCAGAUAAGCAAGUCCCCUUGCAGCAUCAAGUGCAAUUUUCAUUCUGGCUUCCCAAUCCAGAGGGCAGUUCACCCCCAAGGGGCCUGCAGCAGAUGAGUGACAUUUUUAAAAACUGACAAGCAUACCUUAGCAUAAACUUCUCUAAUUGCUAAUCAUCAACAUUGACACUCAUACUCUAGUCAUUCUGCUGUUUUGCUUGAAUAACAGAUGAAUUGGCAUAUAACUGUCAAAUGCCAAAUAAUUCUGAAGAAUUACCAUGGAGCCAGGAUUCCAAACUUCCAUUCGGGACAAGCUCAUAGCAAAGUAGGUUUUGCGAGGAAGCACGACUGCUAUAGUAACCAACAAGUUUCACAAGGUUACGGUGAUGAAGCCUGCUAAGCAUCUCAACCUCAACCAAAAAUUCUUUAUCCCCUUGCUGACCUCCACUACUGAGCCUCUUUAUGGCUACAGCUGUUCCAUCACUAAGUACACCUUUAAAAACUCGGCCAAAACCACCCUCUCCAAGGAUGCUAGCAGGUUCAAAGUUGUUUGUAGCUCCUUUAAGUUCUUCAUAUGCUAGAAACCUGGUACUGGUAGGGUGCGGAGGGUGAGGAAGAGAUCCAGCUAGGGGGGCCGCAUCUGCAGUCCUCAUCUUUGCUGAGUUAAACAAGACUCAGAGAAUGUUAAAAAGAGACAGGAAUUAGAUGUGCAAAAUCAACAUAUACAAAUUUAAAUCGAUACCCAGAUCCAUACCAGGUUCUUUGACAGAUGUUCUCCUUUUUUCUUUGUGUGUUGCACAGAGACAAAUUACAAAAAUAGAAAUAAUAGCAAUGAUCAAGAUUCCAGACCCAAUUGCAAUAACAAGAACUAAACUUGAAUGAUUUCCCUUGUUUGAGCUGUUGGAUGCUACAGGACGUGAAUGCAAUUGUUGAGGUGCUUCUGCUGGAGGCACAUGAGAAAGAGGAGCUGUAUGCAAUACAAAAAAAUUUCAUUUCACAAUUUUUUGUCAUAAAAAAAUGAAAAUUUGUUGGGAAAGCUAGAUGAAUAAACUUCCUAGACCAAAGAUGCAUCAAAGGAUGAUGGUAAACAAUGGAUUACCUUGGGAUGGAGCUGAAGGCAUAAACCAAGUCAGAUUGAGAAGGUGGUAGUCACCAACCAAUGCAGGGUCCAAACGAACCUUAUGCGAAGACAGUGAAGAGUUUAUUUGAGCAGCUUCAGUAGCAGAGAAGCUAAUGCCCUUCAUUGGAGUGAUGUCCAUUGAAAUAUUAAGUCUCGAUAGUCCCAGCACAUAAAAGUUAAUUAGCUCUAUCUGGGAAACUUGCAAGCCUAACUGAGAUGCAAAUUCUUCUAGAAAAGGAUUCCAAUUUGGGUUAAGUGAUACAUUCAAGAGGAGAAGGUCAAGCUUAAGUGGAUAUACGCAUUGGCAACCCUGGGUUCCACGUUUAAGCACCAUAUCUGGUCCACAACAAUCUGAAAUGGAGAGAAACAGGAAAACAUCUUAAUACAUUGGCAAGAAGUAAAAACCUAAUAGAUUGGCAACCGUAAAAUAUUCAAGCAUUUCCCUCACUUAAUUCUGCAUUGAGCCAAACAAAGAAUAUGAAGGAGAAUCUAAUCAAAGAGUGAAAAUCGAUGUAUUGGCAUUUUAGCAUCGGGUCAUACCGGAGGUGUGAGGCGAAAGUGGGGGUUGAGCUAGACCAGCUGGUAAUGCACCAGAUUGCACUGGAGCAAUCUGGGCAAAGCGUGGAGGUGAAAAGCCACUAGGAGGGUUCAGUCCACCGUUCUUCAUUGACGACUUAGAUAACCUUGAGCUUGAAGGAGGAUGAUGGUGGGAUGUUACAAAUGGACCGUAAUGAGGAGGAGGCGGACUUGGUGCCAGCCCAAGCACCGGAACACCAAAGGGCGAAAUGUUUUUCCAGCGUGAUCUGUGGAACAAUGGUCGGUUUGCUGGUAGGGGCAGCGCAGGCAUAGCUGGUGGAGCUAAUGGCAUUUCCACUGGAGAUAGAACUUGUGCUUCCCACGGAUUAUCACGUGAGUCAGCAUUAGUGAAAGAUAGUAUAAAGAAACAAAUAAGAACCUGUCCCAGCAUCAGCCAGUGGACCUUUCUAAGCAGCCCUACAGGUCAUAUUGAAACAAGGGUCAGAGAUGAAGAUCUAGUAAAUCCUCGUAUGAAAUAAUCAGAAUAUGACACAGAAACUAACACAAGAGAAAUAGAAUACUCCACUAGAAUGCCCCCCACCAACACCCCCACCCCCCCAAAAAAAUUAAAAAUAAAUGAAUGAAUGAAACAUAGCAAUUACCGUGUUAAACACAUAUUGGCUCCACAAUAUCUUUUAAGCAAGAAGCAGCACAUUCCCAUUCCCCUCUGAUCAUGGUUCUCAUCAUUAAUAAAUAAAAGGCUAGCACAAAAAAAAUCUAAACCAGUACCAAUUUAGCACAGUUAUUUUUAACAUCAACAGUUUCCUCAACACUGUGGUUUUCCCCCUUUUUUCGUGGAGUGCCAGACCUGAAGUGAGUGGUUAUUAACGGUACAAUUUCGCACCACAUGGACUAUUGAAAAAAAGGAAAAAGCUAUAAAAUAAAAGAAGGUUUGAAAAGAAUGUAGAGAACCCUAAAAAGUGAGGCAAAUGGAGAAUUUGCAGGACUGCCGAAAUAUAUUCAAGCAAUUACUCCACAUUUCAAACGUACUACCGACACCAGACGCAUAAAAACGAGAAAGAUAUAAAGAAAAAUGAAAAUAGCAAAGCUUAAUUUUGUUGAUGUGAACUCACCAGUGAUGGAAGAGGACAAGACGAGCAGCAGCUGAGCUGAGUGCAGCAUCAUUACGGUCGCCGAGGAAAGGGGAAAAAAAUGAAGCGUUCAGAUCUGAGGAGUGAGGAACAAAGUGGAAGGAACCACAGUGGAGGCGGAGAUCUCUCCACAAGAUUUAAUUACGCAGACGGAGCAUAAAUCGUAGAACUAAGUCCCAUGCUGUAUGUGUCUGCAAUAACAAAAUGGAGACGGAAAUUCGAGAAAUCUUCAAAACGUCAGCUGGGAACUGAUAAUCGGGACAGCCACUUGCCAUUUCUUGAGCUUCGCCGCCCGCCACGAUCAAAGCGGAGAGGACUGAGAGCUAAACUGAUGAGAGCUGGCUUUCCCCACCCCCGCCUCUCUCUCUCUCUCUCUCUCUUUUCUUUUUCUUUUUUCUUCUUUUAAUUACUGUUACUAGUAUUUCUUAAAUACUAUUAAGUACUUGCUACAUUUGUGGUGGCUGUGACUGAGGAGCGGGGGCGGUGACUGGUAAAGACGGGGGUUUAUUCUAUUAGUAGUGCUAUAAUUUAAUUCAAGCAUUACUCCGAAUGAUACACUAAUAAUAAGGGUGGCUCCGCUCCGCCAUUGACGGGAAAAGUAUUAGGAGUGCUAAGAACUAACAUAACGGUAAAAAGACCAGCGACGUCACUCCCGUCGCAAUUGAGGCGGCCCAAAGGAAGAGACGGGUGAUUUGAUAUUGCGGCUGGAACACACGCAGGCACCCCCCCCCCCCCCAACACUUUUUAUUAUUAUUAGAAAAAAUCGUUCAAAACGUCCCUGAUAUUUUAUAAUAUGAUUUUUUUCGUCCUUCACUUUUAAAAGUGUAAUUUUAUGUCCCUUAUAAAUUCACAUUGACCAAAUUUGAUCCCUACCUAAGUUUCCGAUUAGAUUUUUGCCAGAAUCCAUCACGUGACUUAUAUGUGAUCAUUUUUUAAGGACAAAAUUAUCAAAUCAAAUUUUUACAUAAUCUGAUUCAUAGUUCAUCACAUUUUACAAAAUGAAUUUUUUUCAUCCCUAACAUUUAAUAAAAUAAAUUGUUUUGUUUCUCACAUUUCAAAAAAUGAAUUUUUUCCAUCCCUUAUAAUUUUCAAAAUAAAUUUUUUCAUCCCUCAUUGAUCAUGUGUACGAAUAGCUUUUUUCUUUAAACCCUCAUAUAUGUAUAUUUGAUUUUACCUGAACAAUAUAAAUAACAUGUAAUUUAUCUCUAUUGGAAUUUAUCUAAACAUGUUAAUCGUAGUUAUACACAUCCUAUUCAAUAGAUAUAUAUAUAUAUAUAUAUAUAGGGGUUUAAAACUAAUAAUUUUGUUUGAAACUCAUGUAUAUAUUUAUAUGAUUUCACCAUUUGAAUUUAUUCAAUAUUUGUGACCUUUCUCUUUUGGUAAUAAUUUAUUUAUUGAGUUGUAUAAUAAGAUCAUCUAAUUAAUGGGUCCUAAGUCUAAUUCUAUAAUUGUGCUAACAAAUUUCAAUUUAAAUCUGAAAUUUCUACUCGACACAUUUAAGACCAACAGUUGAAUUACUUGCCUUGUGAUUAUUUUAAGAUUUGAAAGUGUCAAUCAUUUAUUUCUGUUUGUCAUACUUUUCUUUUAUUUAUUUUUUUUGUUCAAAUUUAAUUCGAUAUAAACACUCGAUAAUAUUUAUGAUUAAAUGCCUUUUUUUCAAAUUUCGAGUAAAAAAAAUGAAUAUAAGUGAAAAACUAACAAGUUUUUUAAACCUAUAUAUAUAUAUCUAUUUGAUUUUCACUUGAGUAGUACGAAUAAUAUGUAAUAUAUCUCUAUUUGAUUUCACAUGCUAUUCGUACCGUUCAGAUAAAAUCAAAUAGAUAUAUAAAUGGAUUUAAAAAAAAAUUAUUCACAUGCAUGAUCAAUAAAAGAUGAAAAAAUUCAUUUUGAAAAAUGUGAAUGAUGAAAAAGUUCAUUUUGUGAAAUGUAAGGGACGAAAAAAUUUAUUUUGUGAAAUGUGAGGGAUUAUGAAUCAAAUUAUAUAAAAGGGUUAAUAUCAGACACCUCCAUUGAGGUUUCUUCUAAUCACAUCUAGCACCCUCUAUGUUUUUGAAAUCACACUUAGCACCCCUGGAAUGACAACUUUGGUAUCUUGUCAGCCCCUCGAUUUGAAAAUGGUAGUAAAAAAUGAAUUGUAGGAGAGAGACUUUAUUUUUGUUCCACUUUUACCCAAAGCCCAAAAUGAUUAGUGAAUUUUAGAAGAUAAAAAUAGAAAUAAAUAGGCAUAUGAUAUUAAUUUAGAAGCUGAGGGUGUAAAAGUGUAACAAAAAAAAUGUUAUAACUAAUUAUCAGAGAUUUUGGCGAUAUAGAGAUGCAUAACUAAUUAUGGACCUGGGGUCGGAACGGUUGCACUCCGGAAGCUUGUGUGCAUUUUGCACACGGUGUAACAUCAUUUGUACACGUUGUAACACUAGAACAACAGCGAGUAAUUAUACUACCUUUAACAGCAGUAACCGUCCCACACGGUGUAACAUCAUUUGUACACGUUGUAACACUAGAACAACAGCGAGUAAUUAUACUACCUUUAACAGCAGUAACCGUCCCACACGGUGUAACAUCAUUUGUACACGUUGUAACACUAGAACAACAGCGAGUAAUUAUACUACCUUUAACAGCAGUAAUCAUCCCUGCCCCUUCUUCACUAAUUACAUAGUCCAUGAUACUACAUUGGAUCAGUCUAGUAACAUGAUACGUAAGCCUUAUAUUGCAAUCCAAUUCUGAACAAAAACACCAUCUACAACUAGUUGUUUAGAUGGUGAGGAUUGCAAUGCACAAAACUAUACACAAGUAGCUCUGAGAUUAGUCAAACAGCACCAUAAGUGGCAGGAAAUAUAAAUCAGAUGCACAUUGCACCACUUAUCAAAAAAUUGUCCACAAAAGCUAACAUUGCUUUAGUAUUGCUGGGAGCUAAGAAGACUAGUACCUAAACUACUUCAGAUACCAAAAGCAAGGAUUGCGGGGAACCUUUAGCACUCUUAAAACAUCAUAGAGAAACUGCUGGUAAUAGUGUUAGAGGCCACUAUUGCAGCAGUAUUAAUGCUAACAGAAGUUUCGGCUUGAGAUCCACCAUUUAGAGUAGCUUGAGCAUUUGGUACAAAGGGAAUUAUACCUUACUUGUUUACAGCAGCAUUGGUUUUCCAGUAUUUCCCCGCUUAAAAAUUUGCCUGGUGUUGGUGGUUUUUGGGUAAUUUCUCACAUUUUGAUUAGGACAACCUGUCACAUCCUACUGCCAGGGGUGCUAAGUGUGAUUUCAAAAACAUGGGGGGUACUAGAUGUGAUUAGAAGAAACCUCAGGGGAGGUUUCUGAUAUUAACCCUAUAUAAAAUUUGAUUUGACAAUUUUCUCCUUAAAAUAUGAUCACAUGCAAGGCACGUGGUGAAUUCCGACAAAAAUCUAGUCGGAAACGUAAGUAGGGAUGAAAUUUGAUCAAUAUGAAUUUGUAAGGGACGUAAAAUUACAUUUUUAAAAGUGAGCGACGAAAAAACUUAUUUUAUAAAAUGUGAGAUACGUUUUGAACGAUUUUUCCGGUUUAAAACUAAUAAUUUUGUGUGAAGUCCAUGUAUAUAUUUAUAUGAUUUCACCGUUUGAACCUAUUUAAUAUUUGUGAACUUUCUCUUUUGGUAAUAAUUUAUUUAUAGAAUUGUAUAAUAAGAUCGUCUAAUUAAUGGGUCCUAACUCGAAUUCUAUAAUUGUGCUAACAAAUUUCAAUUUAAAUAUAAAAUUUUUACUCGAUACAUUUAAGACCAACAGUUGAAUUAUUUGCCUUGUGAUUGUUUUAAAAUUUGAAAGUGCCAACCAUUUAUUUCUGUUUGUCAUACUUUUCUUUUAUUUACUUUUUCUAUCCAAAUUUAAUUCGAUGUUAACACUCGAUAAUAUUUAGGAUUAAAUGUCUUCUUUUUUUCAAAUUUCGAGUAUAAGAAAAUGAAUAUAAGUGAAAAACUAAUAAAUUUUUUAAACCUAUGUAUAUAUCUAUUUGAUUUCACUUGAGUAGUAUGAAUAGUAUGUAAUAAAUCUCUAUUUGAUUUCACAUGCUAUUCGUACUGUUCAGGUGAAAUCAAAUAAAUAUAUACAUGAAUUUUAAAAAAAAUAUUCACAUACAUGAUCAAUAAAAAAUGAAAAAAUUCAUUUUGAAAAAUAUGAAGGAUGAAAAAGUUCAUUUUGUGAAAUGUCAGGGAUGGAAAAAUUUAUUUUAUGAAAUGUGAGGAAUUAUGAAUCAAAUUAUAUAAAAUUUGAUUUGAUAAUUUUGCCCUUAAAAUAUAAUUACAUACAAGGCACGUGGUGAAUUUCGACCCAAAUUUAGUCGAAAACGUAAGUAGAGAUGAAAUUUGAUCAAUAUGAAUUUAUAAGGGAUAUAAAAUUAUAUUUUUAAAAGUAAAAGAUGAAAAAAUUUAUUUUAUAAAAUAUGAAAUACGUCUUGAACGAUUUUUCCUUAUUAUUAUUAUUAUUUCCCGAGCAAAGAAGAGAGUUUAUUAAGAAGUAGAGGACCGGGUGAGUCCAAAGCCGUCACUCAAAUCUCACUGACCCAUUCAAUUUUGGAAUUUUUUAUUUGUCCUUCAAGUGCUGGAACGCAUCUUGGUUCACCCACCCGACUUAGUCCGGUACUCCCGUCACAUGCUAUCUUCAGCCGUCAAUUUCUUACCGCCAACUUCAAGGGUCUUGAACAAUACCACGCACCUAUGUGAAUUUUUUUUUUUGAAGAACCAUCACAAUUGUGACAAAUUGGUAAAAUUUUAAAGGUUUGGUGGCGGCCACGGCCUAAGACGGAUGGUUAUCAACAAAUCUUUACUCAUUUGGGAUAAGUUAGAGAAUUUACGACAAAUAAAAGGGCAUUUUCGCCGUCGCUGUAAAAACAGACUUAAGACCCUUUUUUUUUUUAAUUUAUCAAAUGAAUAUUUAGCUCGAGGAUAGGAUCAUCCAUUUGACAAUAAUAAUAAAUUUGUGAAAAAUUCCGGCGGAAGACCUCACAAAAUGAUAAAAAGGAAAAAAAAAGAGGAAGGAAGUCCUAGACCAAAGGGCAAACUGGAGAUAAAAUAGUAGUAGCGCACUUACAUGUCCACGGCCGACUUAUAGCAGCGCACUUGUGUGUCCUCCGCCGGGGGAUUAGUACAGUGCCCAAUAGGCGCGCGGGGCAACCCAAAUCAGGAAGGGUUUAGCCUCUUUCUGACUUUUGAGGAUGCGAUUUUGAACCUAGGGUUACAAAUAAUACUCUGGUUCUACUUCUAUCCCAAAAAUUAAGAGGGAAAAAGAAAAAAAGAAGAAGAGAAAGGGAAGGAAUUGAACUUCAGAAAAUGUCGAAAAGAAAGUUCGGUUUCGAAGGUUUCGGCAUCAAUCGCCAAGCAACCUACAACUUCGAACGCUCACAGGCCCCUCAGCGGCUUUACGUCCCGCCAUCCGCUCGCUCCAGUAGCGGCGGCCACGACAAUUAUGAAGAUACUGACUUAGACAAUAUCGAGUACGACGACCGGGACGUCGACCACAACAGCAACAACAACAACAACAAUGAUAACGGCACUGGUGGCAAUGACGAAAUCGAUCCUCUGGACGCUUUUAUGGAGGGGAUUCAUGAGGAGAUGAGGGCUCCGCCGCCUCCCAAACCCAAAGAUAGGUUGGACAAGUACAAGGAUGACGAGGAGGAUGACGAUGAUCCAAUGGAGAGUUUUCUGAAAGCUAAAAAAGAUGUAGGGUUGCAAUUAGCUGCUGAUGCUCUUCACGCCGGCUAUAAUUCGGAUGAGGAAGUUUAUGCUGCUGCCAAGGCAGUGGAUGCCGGUCUUAUCGAGUAUGAUUCUGAUGAUAAUCCGAUUCUUCUUGAUAAGAAGAAGAUUGAGCCUAUUCCAGCUUUGGAUCAUAGCUCCAUAGACUACGAACCAUUUAAUAAGGACUUUUAUGAAGAAAAAGCUUCCAUUUCAGGUAGAUACAGGUCUUCCUUUUACUUGGUUUUUUUUUUUUUUUUGGUUUUCUAGUAGUGGUUCUGCAAUUUACCAUUUCAUCUUAAUAAUGGUGGUAGAUGAGCCAGUAAGAAGAUAAAAGGUGAAAAGCGUUGUAAAUUUCUCUAUCAAUGUUGUUGUGGGAUUAUUCCAUAUUGCUAGUUACAAGGAUUGGACAUGUUAUAUUCAUUUUCUUUCUGGGAAUUCUCCAUAUCAGAGAAAGAGAGAGAGUUUUGAAGGGGUCUAUAUCUUGCAUGUCUUUCAUUUGAACUUGGGUUACAGUCCAUGAGAUAUUUUUUAUGUGAGACGGUAUUGCUGUGAUUUAAUCACAAAUUAACUUCUUCAAUGGGAAGAAGCAACAGCAACUUUAUGUUCCACAUUUAUAUUUAGAUUUGUCAGAGUUAUUUAGAGGUGUAGAAUAAAAUACCUAUAUAUAAUUUGGAAAACUGAGCUAUAGGUGGUGUAUAUGUAGCAAACAGAUACUGUAAGAAGAUUGCUAAUAUCCAAAGAGUAGUAGCUGCUAACGAAAUAAGAAGCUUCUGAUGGCCUAAAGUUUGGAAAUAGGUUCUGAAAUCUGGGGCUAUUUUGCGGUGCUUUUACAAAACAAAGGAUAACAUCAGCUUGAAGAGAGUAAUCUUCUCCUUCACAGGUAUUCACACAUAUUUUCCACCCCUAGAGUCUGAUUGUUUUCAAUCGUGGAGAACAGAGUGAGGUUAGUUGGAUCCUGGAAUUACUCAUACUGAGUAAGUUUGAGAAGGUACUUGAACUCUUAAUGUGAUGCCCAAAUUGGUGUCAAACUUUUGUUGUUUAAUAAGUAGGAUGUUUUUCCUAGUAUUCUUCAGUUUUUGUAACCUCAUACUAUAUUGGGAAUUUUACUCUACCAGUAGUAGGUUGAGAAUACAUGGUGUGAAAAUGUCAGUUUAAAUAUGAAAGCUACAAUAUUGACCAAGCGCACAAAAUAAAGCAUGAUGGUUACGACUAAAGCAUCAUAAGUAUAAACUCAAAUAGGAUAGUAAGAUGUUCAAUUUGAGAUGGAGGGAAUUGUAAUUCUAAGAACAUAGAUUCGACAUUGAUGAUAUCUUCUAUGGUCAAUGCUGCCCCAAAAUUUUAUUUAAGACCUACAAGAAAAUUUUCAUCUAGGUUGUUAUUAGAAGUUAAUAUUUGUUUUGGGGCCCUUUAUUACUUGUUAUUCAACUUUUGCUCUAACUUCUCUUUUGGCCAACUCAGGUAUGAGUGAGCAGGAUAUUGCCGAUUACAGGAAGAGUUUAGCUGUUCGUGUUUCUGGUUUUGAUGUUCCUAGGCCUUUAAAGAUGUUUGAAGAUUGUGGAUUUUCGGCUGAGCUCAUGAAAGCUAUUGCAAAACAAGCGUAUGAAAAGCCUACCCCAAUACAAUGCCAAGCUUUGCCUAUUGUGCUUUCUGGGAGGGACAUUAUUGGUAUUGCAAAAACUGGUUCAGGAAAGACUGCUGCUUUUGUUCUUCCCAUGAUUGUCCAUAUUAUGGAUCAACCAGAACUUGCAAAAGAAGAAGGUCCUAUUGGAGUAAUAUGUGCACCAACUAGAGAACUAGCACACCAGAUAUAUGUGGAGGCAAAGAAAUUUGCAAAACCACAUGGCAUCCGUGUAUCUGCAGUUUAUGGUGGGAUGUCCAAGCUUGAUCAGUUCAAGGAACUCAAGGCAGGAUGUGAGAUUGUUGUUGCCACACCAGGGAGACUGAUAGACAUGCUUAAAAUGAAGGCCUUGACAAUGCUGAGAGCAACAUACUUGGUCCUUGACGAGGCUGAUAGGAUGUUUGACCUGGGAUUUGAGCCACAGAUAAGGUCUGUUGUUGGUCAGAUUAGGCCAGAUCGCCAAACUUUACUCUUUUCAGCAACCAUGCCUCGAAAAGUUGAAAAGCUUGCUAGAGAAAUACUGACGGAUCCUAUUCGAGUCACUGUAGGGGAGGUGGGUAUGGCAAAUGAGGAUAUCACUCAGUUUGUCCAGGUGAUUCCUUCUGAUGCUGAGAAGUUGCCUUGGCUUCUUGAGAAGCUACCUGGACUCAUUGAUGGGGGUGAUGUUUUAGUUUUUGCAUCCAAAAAGGCCACAGUGGAUGACCUUGAAUCACAGUUGGCUCAGAGAGGGUUUAAAGUUGCAGCUCUGCAUGGUGACAAAGACCAGGCUUCUCGUGUAGAAGUACUGCAAAAGUUUAAAUCUGGAACUUACCAUGUUCUUAUUGCAACUGAUGUUGCUGCUCGCGGUCUUGACAUCAAGUCAAUUAAGUCGGUGGUUAACUUUGAUAUAGCUAAGGACAUGGACAUGCAUGUUCAUAGAAUUGGAAGAACUGGUCGUGCAGGAGACAAAGAUGGUACUGCAUAUACUCUCAUCACACAGAAGGAGGCACGGUUUGCCGGCGAAUUGGUCAACAGUUUGAUUGCUGCGGGUCAGAAUGUAUCUGUGGAGCUAAUGGAUCUUGCUAUGAAGGUAAUUCAACAAUUUCUCUUAAUAGAUUAGUUGAAAUCCUAGAUUGGUUUUGCGGAUUUUAUUGGCCAUCAUGAAUGUAAUUCAUAAAAACAUGUUAUAUGCUACUACAUUGUUCCCUUUAUUUUUUGGGUUCCUCUGCUUGAUGAAAUACAUGAAUGACAUAUGGAGAAUUAACUUGGGAUACGUUGUUCAUAUUCUUUAUAAAACGCUUCACUCUAUGAAUAGGGAUAUUGGGUGAAACUAGAUUUUUUUUUUUGAUAAUUUGUGCGAUUACCUUUUCCUAAAAACUAUCAGGUGCAACAAUCAAAGUCAGAUACUACUUGUUGUUUACUACAUACAAAAUUAAGCUUAAUAUUAGAUGCCUAAGGCCAGCUGGAUUGUUUGCUUACUGCUGGUUUGUAUUUGUUCAGGUUUGGUUUGAUGUUGCUUGAUUUGACCCUUACUCUUUUUAGUUAAAACCUCUUGCUUAAAGCAAAAAUAAAGCAUGGCAAACUGAUUAGUUUGCACUCAGUUUUGUCAGGCCUUCAAUUGACUGUUUUGACAAAUUUCUGUUCCUUCUGUCCUCCUGUCAGAAGCCUCCCCCUGAAUGUGCUCUUAUGGCAGAUGUGCACAAUUUAACUAAUACAUCUAAUUUUUAAGUGCCUUAUUUGUACUAUUUCAUUAUCCCUCCUAAAUUCCUUUCAACUCCAAUAUGUUGCUGUGGUUUUUUACCAAAAAGUUUGGUCGUUAGGCCUUAAAACUGUAUGCUUUCUGGUCUUCAUGCUUAUCAAAUGAAGGAUCAGCUCCCAAGGGUGCUAUUCUGACCCAGUUACCUUUUUGAUGCUGAACUAAACUAUUGGAUAGAGAUUUGUUAAAUUCUUCCAAUAUGGAGAAUUUUGUAUAGGUGGCACAGGCACGUUUUUAUGUUGUAUGUUUCUUUGGUAAUAUGGGAUUUUUGUAAAUGUUGUAUUUGAAGUUUAUAUUAAAUGAUUGAGUGACUUUUACCUUUUAAAUCAUUAGGAUGGGAGGUUCAGAUCCAAACGUGAUGCUCGUAAAGGAGGUAUGAUUUUUAUUCUAUGAUUUUUGUGCUUAUAGAAAUAUGGUCAAAGAACUGGAUGUCCUGGCGGGUGGGAGCAUAAAUGUGCAUUCUAUUUGUAGUUUUAUAACUCUAACAUCAGCGGCUAAUUCCUAUUUUGAAGGAUUCAGGGGCCUGAGUGCUCAAUUUCAAUGAGGAAACUCCUCCGUCUUUUCCUGUCUCUUUUAACCACAUUUUGUUAUGGAUAGUCUGUCUUCAUUUUUUCUUCACAAAGGCCAAUGCUUUUGCAGGUGGGAAAAGGACUAAAGGAAGGGGAGGUGGAGGAAGAGGUGUACGUGGUGUGGAUUAUGGUCUGGGUAUUGGAUAUAGUGCAGAAUCAAGUAGUUUAUCAUCCUCCUCUGCUGCAGUUCCUAGUCGAUCUGUGGCAGCCAAUUCAUUGAGAACAGGGAUGAUGUCACAGUUCAAAAACAACUUUGUUGCUGCAUCGUCAAAUUCCCAAAAUCAAGGUGUAAACAGCAGUUCAAGCAUGUAUGCAAACAAGAGGACGGUCUUAUCGGGCUUUGUUUCUGGUGGGACAAUUGGUGGGAAUACUGGCAGUGCUCAGACAACUGGUUCAGCAGGUGCUGCAACAAUACCGAGCGGGAAUAAUGCUGCAGGAAUUGCAAGAGAUGAUGCAAUACGAAAGAACCUAGAAAGGUAAGAAUGUAAGAUACUUAUUACUGUGUAUUUUUCUGGCUUUUCUCCUCCAAUGCUGGGGCAAGGGAGAAAGAAACAAAAAUUUCUCAGUCAUUUGGUUAUUGACGCGUGCAAGUUCACUUUAAAUUGUUGCAGUUCCAAGGAAAGACCUAGAGAAAGGCGGAGGCCCUCUGGCUGGGAUCGUUAGUUAAUACACAGUUUGUUGGCUACUUGAUUUUGAAGGUUUUGGUUAGUCAAUCUUGUUUGUAUGCGUAUUCAUAGUAAGUUGUUUGUGCUUAUCCCUGGUAUUUUGUUUAUUACAUUUGUAUUUAUCCAUCCCGAACCCUUUUAACACUGUAACUCUUUAGUCUUUAAGACCAGGUAAAUCCUCUCUCAUUUCUCUCUCUCUUUCUACUUCCGGUCUUUUUGGCAUCGUAAAUAUUAUUGGCUUCGGUAAUUAUUUGCACCGAAUACAUUUCGUUUGUUGGUUGAUAUUUUUCUGUGUUUUCCUUUUGCUGGAUCCUAUCAAUCUCUCUUUCAUUCAUACUACAUCAUACGAACAUGGAAAAACGACGGAGUGGGCGGGGGGAUCAAGGAAUAGAUAUUUGCAAUGACAAUUCUCUUGCAUUCGACUAGAGAGCCACGGAUUCACCAGCUUAUUUCUCCCAGAACUCCUGUACUGCCAACUCCAGGCUCCUACUUGAGCAAUUGAUGAAGUUAAUGAAACAUAAUACUGAUUAUAUUUGGAAUCAAGCGGGCGUUGGACAUGUCAAAACUUUGAGAAGAAGCAGGCAUAUAUUAACGGAGAUGCCACAAUCUUGUAGGACUUUUGACUCAAUUUGCCUGACUUCAUUGUAACAGCGGAACAUGGAACGGUAGGAAGCAAGCGCAAUUGAAAUACAUAGGAACUCCCGUCCCGUGUAAGCUGGUCGAUAAAGUGAGAAGGGAUUGGCCUAGCGGCUUGCGAUCGAUCAAUUUCCAUAACGAAGUGUUCCAGCUCAGCAAUUUGAGAUGGAAGUGACGCCCGAAGAAUGCGCGAGCCAUUGGUAGUCAUGAUGCUUUAGGGCAAUUUGGUUUAUGGUCGGGGCUAAAUGCUGCUCUCCCACGGCGACGGCGACGGCGACUGGCAUGUGGGCAUAUCUCUAAGCAGGGCUCUGUCAGUGCGAUAUCCCUUUCGGGUGGAGGAGGAGGAGCGACUCCAAAUUUAAACUGCCAUUUUGGUAAUACCCCAAAGGAUGAGAAAAAUAGGCGAAACAGAGACAGUUAGUUACAGCGUCACACAUUCCAUAGUGUCAUCUCAUGGUAAGUAGUACUGUCUGAUUAAGGAAAGGAGAAGGGGAAAAAAAGAAGAAGAAGAAGGAAUCAUAACCUGGCAGCUAUAGUCGGUGAAGUUUGGCUCCAUCAGCAAGGGAACUCCCAUGUAAUCGUGGAAGAAAGUCUAGAAGAAAUAUUAGUACAACAAAAUGGAAGAAUCAGGCAAAGAGCAUGUAGUCAGAGUGAAACCUGUGUAGGAAGCUUGCAGGUAUUGAUACAUACGCCCACACAUUUACUUUCUUCUAAAUAUUUGCAUCUUUCCACAAAAACCUGCAGCAGCAUAGAUAUGUCCCAUUACGGUAGACCACCAAUUAUUACAUAUAUAUAUAUAAAGGAAAAAAAAAAAAAGAAAAAGGUUGCACAGGAGGAAAGGAAACAAAUACCCCACUCAUCAAAGAAGAUCCAUCAGGAAGUGGUACGGAGUUGACCUGGCAUUGACCCAUCAACCAUCUACACGAAAGUGCGGUCACCCUUGCUUCGAGAUCCAAAUAAUUGGAUAUUCAUCAGUUCAAAUUUCAUAAUACUACUAUUACUAUACUAUAUAAAAUAAAAGGUGGAGCGGGCGUGGUGGGACGCUUAUUACUUACUGGCAUAAAUUGUACUAUCAACGUUGCAUAUAAUAUAAUAUAAUAUAAUAUGAGUCGUGGACAAAGAAACUUGGAAUUAAUUAGCCUCUAUAUAUAUAUAUAUAUAUAUAUAUGCAUACAGUACAGGAUACAGGGCAGCGUGAGGCUGAAGCACUCACCGAUCAUAGCGGCGGCGACUUUCCCUUGUGCUAGAGGCGCAACGAGGAUGCGGUAAAGCUCCAAUAGCAGCGGAGGAAACAGCGACCUUAAAAUCCGGACCUGCAGACUAAAGUCAGUUGAGAAGAGAAGAGAAGACUACGGGUAAUGUGCUAUUAAUAUAUAGUAUUAUAUAGAAUUUGCAUGUACCGAUGCCUGAAUGGUCUCAGAAUUUGAUCGACCAAUUGUAAGAUGAUUAGCAACUUCAAUGAGUCCGUCAUAUCCAGGCUUCUCCGACUCCCAUCCAGUUUCCUGACGAGGAAUAAUAAGAACAUAUUCCAAGAGGAGGAUAUCUGCAGAAACAAAGCUGCCUCCUUGCUCCUCAAUCGUCAUCUAGUAUCUAACUUUGGAACUGAAUCCUUCGAUGUGCCAUGGGGUUUCCGGUUUGCUUAUUUACGACUUGUUCCACAGAACAGAACAGAAGAAAAAAAAAAAAAAAAGUGCCCUUUUUUUUUUGAAAAAAAAAUAAAAAUUUUCGUCUCAAACAGAGUAAUUAGAUUUUAUUAUGCUGCGAAUAAAGAUAUAGUAGGCACAUAAAAAAGGAGGAGAGUAGUUGUGGAAGUACAUACUCGGACCAUUUUGGCGCGGAACAAAUGGAGGAAGAGAUUAUCCAACAAGCCCAGGCUUUGUUGAUUUUGCCUCAUCUUCUCUCCUGCUGCUUCGGUAUUCCUUUGCAAUCCGGAGGAAAUAUAUGAUACACCACGUAUAAAUAAUGCAUCUAUGUUUUUUUUUUUUUGGCGGAAAGUGAUAGAGAAACGGGAUGAGAUUAAAGAAAUACACUUACAUGCCUACGCUAUCAGGACGAGGGCCACUGGUAGAGAAGCAUGAGAUUGGAGGAGCAACAGAAGAGUUUCGCGGGUGAAUCUUGGAGACAGCGCGGGGGUAUGGAAAUUGCAGAGGUGCCGCCUUGGUCCAAACAAGUGCAGCAGCAGUUGCCAUUGUUAUUACUAUACUAGUAUUAGCCUUUCCAUAUCCCAAAAUUUAUCCAACCCCAAUUCUAAGUCAGAUUCGAUAGCCAUGGAUAAGGUGGGCGGGGCACCCAUUACCAAACUGGUCCCUCGACUCAGCACAAACUCUUAAAAGACUCUUUUUAAGUAUGCAACAGUCCCUACCCAAAACUUUACGAUGCCACAGAAAUGAAAAUGAACACUCAGCGUGUCUUCUCCCCCCCGCCCGAACCCAUUGUUGGUCAAAUGUGAUAUUUGGAGGAGUAGAUUAGUCAUACCAUCCAUCGUUUGGAAUUUAUAUAUAAGAGAGAGAGAGAUGAGUUGGAUGAUAAGAGACAAAGAGCGUAAGUGGUUCGAAACCUUUUAUUUACGUUAAAAAAAAAAUAAUGUAGUAGUUGUGAUUUAUGCAUAUUAUGGAUUUCAAAGUUUGCUUUGGUGGUGUGGUAGUUAGAUUUCGCCCUUACACUUACUCUUUGACAUUUUUCCAACGAGAUGAAUACAGAUUUUUCAUGAGAAAAUGCUGCAUUUGAGUUCCUAAUUUAUAAAGGGAGCUCAAUUCUUUUUUUUUUUUUUGUUGGUAAUUUAGUAUUAAGGGCUUUUGUACCGGAGCAAGGAAAUCAAACCCAAGAUGCUAGCUUUUUAUUAAAGAGAUGUAUAAGCUCAUGUAAAGUUGAUAAUAUGACAUGUAAAGAUGCGAGUGCACAAGGUGUUUGAGGCUAUUGUCCAAAAUCUUGCUACUCUCAUAAAUAAAUCGUCUGCUAAAACUUGAGUUGAAAAAACUUCUCAACAAGUUGUAUAGUUGGAGAAAAGAUGAAUCAAUUGCAUAUUCAUUACAGAAUAUCAAGGUAUAUAUAUAUAUAUAUAUAUAUAUAUAUUGCAGAUUGGAAAUUCAUUGAAUAGCUAAGGACCAAGUUUAUAAGAAAACCGCAAGAUAAGCGAGCUCAGUUUAAUUUUGAAAACCUGAUGGGAGCAAUGUGAGACAGUUAUACAAACACUAGGGAAGGAUGGUGAAGUCAUCCCUAAGAAUUACUCCUAAAAUGUGAGGACCAGCUCGCAAUUCUCCAUCUAAUUUUUUUUUAUAUAUAAAAAAAAAAACUCAAAUUGCUAAAACCCUAUCGAAAGCCCUUUGUACCGUGGCGGUACCAGUUAAUGGAGUAGUGCUGUAUAAAACAUUCUGCCACAACCGAGGGCUGCCAAAAUUGCCAAAAGAAAAAGGCCAAAAAAAAAAAAAGAUGAUAAAGAAUGCGGGUUUGGGUCAAAGGAAAUGUGCCGGAAUAGCGGCAGAGGCGCUGACUAGAGGCGUCAGGACGGCGGUGAACGUGGAGAAGGAGACGAUAAAUGAGAGGAACCUUUACAAAAGGUUGUCGGCAUUGGGAGCGAAGAAAGGGUUGGUGGGAGCGACGAUAAAUGAGUACCUGAGAGAGGGGGGAGUGCCCCACAAACAGGAGCUCAUGAGAUGCAUCAAGGAACUCCGUCGUUUUGGAAGACACCACCAAGCCCUUGAGGUAACACUUCUAUUAUAUGUAUGCAUAUCCUAAUAAUAUAUCUGUGGACAUCAGUACCAUGUCUUUGGCCAUCAUCGUUUCUCAGAUUUUUUUUUUUUUUUUCUGUUAAAGGGUUUAAUGGUCCAGAGUUUGAUAACUUCCCAUGGUCCUAUCCCUCCCCUUCAAAACUUGACCACUAUUAAUAAUAGAUAUAUGUAUGGGUAUGAUAAAAUGGACAGUUGUUGUGCUGCGGCUGCCCUGCCCUUUGAGGAUUAGGAUCAAGUUCAAGUUUUUUAUGGAUUAAAGGUGUGCUUUUUAGUUUUCUGUUUAGCAAGCAGGUUUUUGUGUUUGAGAGGCACGAACCAAUGACCAAUUUUGUUUUUGUUGGGAUAUGCCAGUGCUAGUACAGAGACCCAACUAAUACUAGUAGGUAAAUUGAUUGACAGACAAUGGAAUGGAUGGACACAAGGAACGUGAACCUUUCACACCGCGACCAUGCCACCCGCUUGGAUCUUAUAUGUAAAACCCAGGGAAUAGAUGCCGCCGAAGACUACUUCAAUGGCCUUCCACCUUCUGCUAAGAACCAAUUCACUUAUGGAGCUCUCUUGAACUGCUAUUGUGUUGAAAAGAUGAAAGACAAGGCAUUGGAUCUCUUUGACAAGAUGCAUCAGAUGCAAAUUGCUCCCUCCUCACUGGCUUUCAACAACCUUAUGUCCUUGUAUAUGAGAUUAGGACAGCCCGAGAAGGUGCCACCCCUGGUAGACGAAAUGAAGAAAAGGAAGAUACCUCUCUCCACCUUUACUUACAAUAUUUUCAUGCAUAGUUAUUCGUGCUUAGAUGAUAUUGAGGGAGUGGAAAGAGUUUUUGAGGAGAUUAUGCAGGAGGCUGGGAAAAGGUAUGAUUGGACUACUUUUAGUAAUUUGGCUGUUGCCUAUGUCAAUGCCGGACUAAAUGAAAAAGCUGUGCUCGCUUUAAAAAAGGUAGAGCAAGAAAUGGGACCUCGCAACCGUGAGGCAUUUCAUUAUCUGCUAAGCUUGUAUGCCAGAACUGCUAAUAUUGGUGAGGUCCAUCGCAUUUGGAAGUCCUUGAGAUCAAGUCUGCCUACAGUUACAAAUCUGAGCUAUCUUACCAUGCUUCAGGCUCUGAAUAAACUGAACGACAUCCACGGACUGAAGAAUUGCUUCCGGGAAUGGGAAUCAACAUGCUCUAGUUAUGACAUUAGGUUGGCUAACCUUGCUAUCGGUGCCUAUCUCCGACAUGAUAUGGCAGAGGAUGCUGAAUCCGUGUUCCAUUCUGCGCUAAAGAGGUCGAGUGGACCUUUCUUUAUUGCCCGGGAAAUGCUAAUGAUGUACUAUUUGAAAAACCGCAGUAUCAGGCUGGCACUGCAGUGCAUGGAAGCUGCUAUUUCUGAGCUCGAUGGCUCUGAAUGGCAGCCAAAAUCUGAUAGCAUAUGUAAAUUUCUCACUGUUUGUGAAGAAGAAAAAGAUGUUGAUAGUGCCGAGGAAUUCUGCAAAUACUUAAAGAAGGUAAAUUGUCUAAAUCACAGAGUCUACAAGUCAUUGCUUCAGACUUAUGUUGCUGCUGCAAAAACAGCACCCUAUAUGCGCACAAGAAUUGAGGGAGAUGGAAUUGAAAUAUGCUCCGAACUGGAAAACCUGCUACAAAAUGUUUCUCCUGAAUAGUUUAAGUUCUCCUGAAUCAACUUUUCAAUAUUUCUUUUGUAAAGAUCCCGUUGGUUAUCAAGUGGCUUGGCACGAUGGGAAGAUGUUACGUGCUUCUUUUAGAAGCCAGAUUCAUAUUAGUCUUGGUUUUUGUUAUCCUUUGCCUUCACGCAUAAGGUCAAUUCCGACAGGAGGAUCAAAAGGUUUGAAAUGCAGAGAUAAUCAUUCGAGAGUUUGGAAACAUUUCAAGCAAUUUUUUUUUCAAACGAUCUGCUGGAGUUGGGCUGAUAAAGUUUCUUUCAAGUAUAACUUCUACCAAAUUUCGUCAGUUAGCCCUUCUUUUUUAUCUCAUUCACCAGUUGUCCGAUCGCAGGCCAUGCACAUACGAGACCAAGAGAAAGUUUUACUCCAACAAGGAUAUCCCGUUACCGCCACAUAAAAGCAAGCCAAUUCAAAAGGUUCAAUACCUGUUAAACGUUAAUAAUUUCUACCCAAAGCUGUUGGGAGGCUAAUCUCCGAGAAAAAGGAGCCUGGGAGUUUUGCAAUGCCACACAACAAAUAUACCACUGCAGUAUUAAUAAUAAAUACUAUCACCCUGUUCUGCCAUCAAAAUUUUGAACCUGAAGCAAAUCCAGCUGCAUCAAUACAACGGAAAAAGGAAGGAGGGGGAGGAAGGAACUAACACAUAAUUCUAUCCCAUUUGAAAUUACAAGAAAUGACAGCUGCGUCAUGUUAAUCAACAAAGGCUGUACGCUUCCAAUGACUAUCAUUUCGAUAUGUAGUCGUGUCAGAUGUGAAAUGCAAU
rnacentral:lncRNA from 1 species